AAUUUAUCAAGUUUAGAAAGCUUUCCAGAAUCUGCAAUAAACCUCAACAUUGAAGGAAUACGAACGUUAGAAUAGGAUCCCUUGGCAAUUCCGAAACUAGGAAGUAAAGGUUUUCGUGGAAUUGGUAAUUUGGAUACUGCCUGGUUGUUGAUUAUUAAGUCUUCUUCUCCCUUCAAUGGCUGAUAUAAGUAAUGACUCCAGAGAUGAUCACGCUGGAACCUUGAUUGAAGGACUGUAAAUUGCCGACUACCAGGACAAUAUAUAUCGAUUGGAGGAGCAGAUGCGCGCUGUACCA